rnacentral:rRNA from 1 species
UGUUACCUUGUUACGACUUCACCCUAGUCGCUAAUUCCACUGUGGAAGGUAGCUAUCUUAGCAUCCCCGCUUCGAAUGAAAUCAACUCCCAUGGUGUGACGGGCGGUGAGUACAAGACCCGGGAACGUAUUCACCGUAGCAUUGCUGAUCUACGAUUACUAGCGAUUCCAACUUCAUGUUCUCGAGUUGCAGAGAACAAUCCGAACUGGGAGGCAUUUUAUGAGAUUUGCUCCACGUCACCGUAUCGCUGCUCUUUGUAUGCCCCAUUGUAGCACGUGUGUAGCCCUGGCCGUAAGGGCCAUGAUGACUUGACGUCGUCCUCACCUUCCUCCUCCUUGCGAAGGCAGUCUGAUUAGAGUCCCCACCCGAAGUGCUGGUAACUAAUCACGAGGGUUGCGCUCGUUGCGGGACUUAACCCAACAUCUCACGACACGAGCUGACGACAGCCGUGCAGCACCUGUUUUCAAGCUCUAGUAAACUAGCACUCUCUCAUCUCUGAAAGAUUCUAUCAAUGUCAAGGCCAGGUAAGGUUCUUCGCGUAUCGUCGAAUUAAACCACAUGCUCCACCGCUUGUGCGGGUCCCCGUCUAUUCCUUUGAGUUUUAAUCUUGCGACCGUACUCCCCAGGCGGUACACUUAAU